CCUACGGGAGGCAGCAGUGAGGAAUAUUGGUCAAUGGGCGGGAGCCUGAACCAGCCAAGUCGCGUGAGGGAAGACGGUCCUAUGGAUUGUAAACCUCUUUAGGCGGGGAGCAAUGCCGGGCACGCGUGCCCGGAGGGAGAGUACCCGCAGCAUGAGCGUCGGCUAACUACGUGCCAGCAGCCGCGGUAAUACGGAGGAUGCGAGCGUUAUCCGGAUUGAUUGGGUUUAAGGGGUGCGUAGGCGAAUUUUUAAGUCAGCGGUAAAAUGUCCGGGCUCAACCCGGGCUGGCCGUUGAAACUGGGGAUCUUGAGUGGGCGAGAAGUAUGCGGAAUGCGUGGUGUAGCGGUGAAAUGCAUAGAUAUCACGCAGAACUCCGAUUGCGAAGGCAGCAUACCGGCGCCCGACUGACGCUGAGGCACGAAAGCGUGGGGAUCGAACAGGAUUAGAUACCCCGGUAGUC
rnacentral:rRNA from 1 species